GACGAACGCUGGCGGCGUGCCUAAUACAUGCAAGUAGAACGCACAGUUUAUACCGUAGCUUGCUACACCAUAAACUGUGAGUUGCGAACGGGUGAGUAACGCGUAUGUAACCUGCCUGGUAGCGGGGGAUAACUAUUGGAAACGAUAGCUAAUACCGCAUAAUAUUGAUUAUUGCAUGAUAAUUAAUUGAAAGGUGCAAUUGCACCCCUACCAGAUGGACCUGCGUUGUAUUAGCUAGUAGGUGAGGUAACGGCUCACCUAGGCGACGAUACAUAGCCGACAUGAGAGGGUGAUCGGCCACACUGGGACUGAGAACAGGCCCAGACUCCUAAGGGAGGCAGCAGGAGGGAAUCUUCGGCAAUGGACGAAAGUCUGACCGAGCAACGCCGCGUGAGUGAAGAAGGUUUUCGGAUCGUAAAGCUCUGUUGUAAGAGAAGAACGGGUGUGAGAGUGGAAAGUUCACACUGUGACGGUAUCUUACCAGAAAGGGACGGCUAACUACGUG
rnacentral:rRNA from 1 species